UAUAUAACACGAAAAUAUUCUAUACUUCUUGGGCGUUUAUUCUUUAACGCUUUUACGAAUAAGAAUGUUAACAUCGAUAAAUGUUUUAUUUUUUAAUUGGCAA
rnacentral:lncRNA from 1 species